UAUGGUGGGGAUACGCAAACUUCUCAACAGGCCGUACCAAUAUCCGCAGCUGGUCUCCAAGGUGAAGAGUCUCUAGUCGAUAGAAUAAUGUAGGUAAGGGAAGUCGGCAAAUUAGAUCCGUAACUUCGGGAUAAGGAUUGGCUCUGAAGAUUGAGAUAGUCGGGCUUGAUUGGGAAACAAUAACAUGGUUUAUGUGCUCGUUCUGGGUAAAUAGAGUUUCUAUCAUUUAUGAUAGUUAUUUGUUCCCCGGAUAGUUAGUUACGUAGCCAAUUGUGGAACUUUCUUGCUAAAAUUUUUAAGAAUACUAAUUUUUAAUUAGUUCUUUUAAAUUAUAACGAUUAUCAAUUAACAAUCAAUUCAGAACUGGCACGGACUUGGGGAAUCCGACUGUCUAAUUAAAACAAAGCAUUGUGAUGGCCCUAGCGGGUGUUGACACAAUGUGAUUUCUGCCCAGUGCUCUGAAUGUCAAAGUGAAGAAAUUCAAGUAAGCGCGGGUCAACGGCGGGAGUAACUAUGACUCUCUCAAAUAUUUCAUGUAUUGUGCUGGGUAUACUCGAAGCUAGAUGUACUAACCUCUAGCUUUUCUUAUACUUUUGCCUGCUACCUUGGCAUUACAUCUAAAAAGGUACAAACAUCGCAUUGUCAAAAAGAGGUGGUUUUAGUACGUAGGCGCUGUGGGACUUCAUUGUCCCGGUGAUGCAGCGAAUCGUGCAUACGAGAUUGUCCAGUAGUUGGUUGCUCGUAUCUUUAGAAGAUUUCCUUCCUCGGCGAUCAAAAAAAAAAAAAAAAAAUAGCCAAAUGCCUCGUCAUCUAAUUAGUGACGCGCAUGAAUGGAUUAACGAGAUUCCUACUGUCCCUAUCUACUGGUCGAGUCGCUAAUCACCGAGGCUGGAGUAUGCGUGAGGGUCACGGGU
rnacentral:ncRNA from 1 species